rnacentral:tRNA from 1 species
GGAUGGGUGGCCGAGCGGUUGAAGGCACCGGUCUUGAAAACCGGCAAGGGCGCAAGUCCUUCGUGGGUUCGAAUCCCACCCCAUCCGCCA